rnacentral:tRNA from 1 species
GCCGACGUAGCUCAACGGUAGAGCACGGCUUUCGUAAAGCCGGGGUUGUGGGUUCAAAUCCCAUCUUCGGCU